GCUCUCUUUGUCUAACGCGUCAACGGUCAACCGCCGUUCAAAUCAAAGUUAUUAACGGACGCAGGACGCCGGAGUAUGGGACAACACGGACGUCCCGCGGACUCGGACGGAUGGCCUGGAUCUUGCGGUUAACAGGCUUCAAGCCAUCCGCAGAUAUUUUGCACGACUGAAAAAGAUGUAACCGUUAAAGUUCUGCAGUUUGGGCUUCAAGAUCGGCGAUGCUGGCAUCGUAUAAUAAAAAAUUUUGUAGCUGUAAUAUGUGAUAUGGUUAAAAACUAAUAAAGUUUGCAUAUUUUUUACAUUUAA